AAAAAAACUAGGGCCCCAUGGGUGCUCUCAGCUCAGAUGGAAGGCUUGGCUGUGCAGUUUCUCUGGGCGCAGAUAGCAAUCUCAGCCGCAUGGGCACUCAGUGCGCAGACAGAAGGCAGCACAGAACACAGAGACUUUGCUUGAGAAUCACCAGAACGAGCUCUGGACACAGCACAAGGUCACUCCAGAACCACCCACUUCACCAAAAACCAUACAUGGGUAAUAGAUGGAAUCCAUCUUGCAAAACCUUCCUCGCCAUUUAUCAGUGGGCGUGGCUACCAGCUGGGUUCUGCAGCUUAUCAGGUAAGUGGUUUCCAACUCCCCUACCUCCAGCUGUGAUAACUCAAGAUUUUUCUCACAAGCUCUUGAGGGGUGUAACUAUCAAUGUGGAACAGCAACUGUACAGGCACCUGGUUUCCAAUUCAGAGACUAAGAGUAGGGAGGCUCCAGGAAUAAGAUCAAACUCUCUCACCCUGGCUACCUCCACCACCCUGAGCACAGAGACUCAAGCUAGGAAUAGACAACUCCACCUACUGCAAGAAAAGAAAACAGAGUUCUGAGAGCCUUUUUUUUCUUACUUUUCUUGCUCUUCUUAUCCAUUCUUCUCUACUCUUCCCCUCUGGUCCUCACAAUAUCAACAUAUGUGAAACCAAGGACUUUCCAUGAAAUUGGACUUUAAAAAC
rnacentral:lncRNA from 1 species